CCUACGGGUGGCAGCAGUGAGGAAUAUUGGUCAAUGGACGAGAGUCUGAACCAGCCAAGUAGCGUGAAGGAUGAUUGCCCUAUGGGUUGUAAACUUCUUUUAUAGGGGAAUAAAAUGUUCCACGUGUGGGAUUUUGUAUGUACCUUAUGAUUAAGGAUCGGCUAACUCCGUGCCAGCAGCCGCGGUAAUACGGAGGUUCCGGGCAUUAUCCGGAUUUAUUGGGUUUAAAGGGGGCGCAGGUGGGUUGUUAAGUCAGUUGUGAAAGUUUGCGGCUCAACCGUGAAAUUGCAGUUGAAACUGGCAGGCUUGAGUGCGGUAGAGGUGGGCGGAAUGCGUGGUGUAGCGGUGAAAUGCUUAGAUAUCACGAAGAACUCCGAUUGCGAAGGCAGUUCACUGGACUGCAACUGACACUGAGGCUCGAAAGUGUGGGUAUCAAACAGGAUUAGAUACCCGGGUAGUC
rnacentral:rRNA from 1 species